rnacentral:rRNA from 13 species
GGGAUGUGCAGGAUAGGUGGUAGGCUUUGAAGCAGGAACGCCAGUUUCUGUGGAGCCAUCCUUGAGAUACCACCCUUCGCAUUCUUGUUAUCUAACCGCGGUCCGUUAUCCGGAUCCGGGACAGUGUAUGGUGGGUAGUUUGACUGGGGCGGUCUCCUCCCAAAGAGUAACGGAGGAGCACGAAGGUGUGCUAAUCAUGGUC